GCCGGCAUAGCUCAGUUGGUAGAGCAACUGAUUUGUAAUCAGUAGGUCGCGGGUUCGAUUCCUGCUGCCGGCA
rfam:Rhodanobacter sp. C06 NODE_19_length_91701_cov_9.62989_ID_37, whole genome shotgun sequence.